ACUUCAGGACGGGGACAACAGUUGGAAACGUCUGCUAAUACCCGAUGUGCCGCGAGGUGAAACCUAAUUGGCCUGGAGAAGUGCUUGCGUCUGAUUAGCUAGUUGGUGGGGUAAAGGCCUACCAAGGCGACGUUCAGUAGCUGGUCUGAGAGGAUGAGCAGCCACACUGGGACUGAGACACGGCCCAGACUCCUACGGGAGGCAGCAGUGGGGAAUUUUCCGCAAUGGGCGAAAGCCUGACGGAGCAACGCCGCGUGAGGGAGGAAGGUCUUUGGAUUGUAAACCUCUUUUCUCAAGGAAGAAGUUCUGACGGUACUUGAGGAAUCAGCCUCGGCUAACUCCGUGCCAGCAGCCGCGGUAAUACGGGGGAGGCAAGCGUUAUCCGGAAUUAUUGGGCGUAAAGCGUCCGCAGGUGGUCAGCCAAGUCUGCUGUCAAAUCAGGUUGCUUAACGACCUA
rnacentral:rRNA from 1 species